GACGAAGGGGGCUAGCGUUGUUCGGAAUUACUGGGCGUAAAGCGAGUGUAGGUGGUUGUCCAAGUUGGAUGUGAAAGCCUUGAGCUCAACUCAAGAAAUGCAUUCAGGACUGGGUGACUAGAGGACCGGAGAGGAUAGUGGAAUUCCCAGUGUAGUGGUGAAAUACGUAGAGAUUGGGAAGAACACCAGUGGCGAAGGCGGCUAUCUGGACGGUUUCUGACACUAAGGCUCGAAAGCGUGGGGAGCAAACAGG
rnacentral:rRNA from 1 species